rnacentral:rRNA from 1 species
GAUGAACGCUGGCGGCGUGCCUAAUACAUGCAAGUCGAGCGAAUGGAUUAAGAGCUUGCUCUUAUGAAGUUAGCGGCGGACGGGUGAGUAACACGUGGGUAACCUGCCCAUAAGACUGGGAUAACUCCGGGAAACCGGGGCUAAUACCGGAUAACAUUUUGAACCGCAUGGUUCGAAAUUGAAAGGCGGCUUCGGCUGUCACUUAUGGAUGGACCCGCGUCGCAUUAGCUAGUUGGUGAGGUAACGGCUCACCAAGGCAACGAUGCGUAGCCGACCUGAGAGGGUGAUCGGCCACACUGGGACUGAGACACGGCCCAGACUCCUACGGGAGGCAGCAGUAGGGAAUCUUCCGCAAUGGACGAAAGUCUGACGGAGCAACGCCGCGUGAGUGAUGAAGGCUUUCGGGUCGUAAAACUCUGUUGUUAGGGAAGAACAAGUGCUAGUUGAAUAAGCUGGCACCUUGACGGUACCUAACCAGAAAGCCACGGCUAACUACGUGCCAGCAGCCGCCGCCG